ACCAGCAACGGAAAAGGAUCGAUCCACGUCUCAGCCUCCGCUUAGUUCUCGGUGCCUCUAAUAGAGUCUGGUCCACGGACCUGAGACACCGGGCAGAUGCGUCUGGGCGGUGGUGCUCAGAGAGGUAAGAUGGGGUCAGGCCAUUUAGAUUUGAAAACAAAUACAGGUAAUAAGGUUUUAAAAAUAAGUCAAAAAUUAAGAGGCCAUGAAGGGAUGUCAGAGCAGGAUUUAUGUGCUCCCUCUUACGAGUACCAGUCAAGAGGUGAGCAUCAGCAUUAUGGACCAACUGGAGACGCUGAAUGGAGGAUUGGCUGACUCCAAAGUAAAGUGCAUGACAGUAAUCCAGCCGAGACGUGACAAAGGCAUGAAUUACAAAGUGUGCUUGAGAAAGGAGACGCUUUACUUGAGGCAACUGCCGAAGGUGAAAGGAGCUGGAUUUAACAGCGGCACCAAUUUGACGGUCCAGUUUAAAAUCACUGUCGAGUUUAAGACCCAAGUUUUAAAACCUGGAUAGAUAGACAGAUCUCAAGCACACGUAGGGCCAAUUUUAGAGUGUUCAAUCAGCCUGCCAUGCACGGUUGGAAUGUGGGAGGAAACCAGAGUACCCAAAGAAACCCCAUGCCCGGGGAGAACAUGAAAACUCCACACAGGGAGGCCGGAGCAGGAAUUGAACCUGUGAGAUUGACGCGCUAACCACUGGACCAUCAGGAUGCCCUUGGCUUUUAACAAUCCUUCAAAAAUGUCCAAGGCAAACAUCAGCAUAGCGAGCGAUCGCCCAAAUGGUGAGCACUUUUUCUGGGUCACAUUUACGUAAAACUAUCAGAAGGCCUUGUGGCUCGAGGAGCGAAUGACAAAGACGCUGCAGAGACACAUAACUAUCUACACACAUAGAUAGAUAUGGUAAAAGCCCCUCUUAGCCUAUGAGAUGCCAAGAUGAUGCUCAGGAAUCGUCAAUGGAAAAGCAACUAUAAGGAUGUUCCAUUCAGGAAACCCUGAGCUGCGACCAGCAGCCAUACUGUAUUUUUACCUUUUGUAACUUGAAAUGUCUUUUGUAACUAGAGGCAAUAUUUUCCUGUUGAGGCGUUUGGUAACUUUAAAAUUUCGGAUGAAGAGACAUUCAUAAGUAGAGGUGCCACUGUAAAUUAUCCCUAGGUGUGAGUGAGUGUGAAUGGUUGUUCAUUGAUUGACUAUCUCUGCACGAAGACAGCUGGGAUGGGCUCCAGCACGCCCGCAAUCCGCGUGAGGAUAACCAGAUAAGACAAUGGAUGGUUGUUUUAUUUUCUACCCAUACAUAGCGGGCACAACAUGUUGAAAAAAUAUUGCUAAUGGCACAUGCAGUGCAGAAUGCUAAAGAUCCGCAAUAAAUUCAU